rnacentral:lncRNA from 1 species
GUGCUUUUUAUUGACUUGGUCAAGAAUAUACAUACAAUUACAUAUUUUCAAAAAAGGUGUUUAAACAUCAUCAUUACCUUAUUCUAUUUACAUUCAAUUAUUUCAAAAAUAAGCAACAAUUGUUUGGUUACCAGUCAGCGAUAUUGCUUUUCUUUAUUUGAAGAAAGCAACUUGCUUCCUUGUUUUUGUUAACUGUCUGUACAGAAAUGUAUGUACAACACACAAACAAAAAAUUACGAGAGAAAACAAAAUAAUAUCAUGCAGAAUGUGAACGAGAAAACAAAUGCCCCCGCUAAAUAAAAAAUUUGCAAUUUUCCAAUUAAAAAGGAGCAUAACUCUAGAAAGAAAAUUGAAACAGUUCUCAAAUUUGAACUCGUUGCGCGUUUUGGGGUUUAAUGGAUUGUGUACGAGUUUCAUAAAAGUGGGAUCGGGCUUGCAGGCGUAGUCUCUUCGAUGACCAUUCAUGUGUUUGUUGAAUGGCUGCUCUGUCUCGCCAACAUACUGCAUGCCAUAUCGACACUGAAGAAGGUAUACAACAAAGACUACACCGGCAAGUCCGACCUCCCCGUAAGUCGUCAUUUGUGAUAACCUAAGCACGCCAAAGCUGAUCUCAAAAACCUUACCUACACACUCAUAGACCACAACGAGGGUUGAUCAAAGGCCAAAAAUACUUGCUCGGGAAAGAUUUUGUAUAAGAAAGCUAAGGACAGUUUCCCCAGAGGGCAUCAAUGAAAAAGCUAUAGAAUGAGUCCUUCAUUUUCCCUACCAUCACUCAUUUUUCCUACCAUCACUCAUUUUCCUGCCAUCAAUCAUUUUCCUGCCAUCACUCAUUUUCCUGACAUCACUUGUUUCCAGUAACUCCGGCUUCCUUACUUGACUCUUACAGUUUUAAGGUAGUUUUUGAAUUAUACUAGUUUAAAUGAUGAUUCUUUUCAUUUGAUAGGGAUGUACAAGUACGCUGUCACGUUCAAUUAUUUAACCUCAUCAAAAUUUAUUAUUAUUUUUUUAUCAUUAUCAAACUGUUACUUAUUUGGGAUUUUAAGAUUAAAUACGCAACCUCUGUCUUUAUAACUCUAUGCGGUGAGGGAAGUUAAAGGGUAUUGAAAAGGCCAAAAGGAGGAAAUUCGAAAAAAAAAAUUAAUACAAUCUUCGGCUGGAUAGCCACAGCUGCAUGCGGGAUAAGUUUUGAUAUUAAUCCAUUUAUUAUGCCCCAUUUAUGGGCAUUAGGUUUUCUGGUUUGUGGGUCCGUCUGUUCGUUCGUUCGUUCGUCCGUUCGUCCGUUCUUCCGUUCGUCCGUCUGUCCCGCUUCAGGUUUAAGUUUUUGGUCGAGGUAGUUUUGAUGAAGUUGAAGUCCAAUCAACUUGAAACUUAUUAAACAUGUUCCUUAUGAUAUGAUCAUUCUAAUUGUAAUGCCAAAUUAGAGAUUUUACCCCAUUUUCACGGUCCACUGAACAUAGAACAUGAUAAUGCGGAUGGGGCAUCCGUGUACUUAGGACACAUUCUUGUUUCCCCUUCUUCUUCAAGGUUUAAGCCAUUCAAAGAGAAGUGUCGUAUACAUAAAUGCGAUUCUGUGUUAAGCGCAAGCCGUAGUAUGGUUCAUGUUGCUUAACUCAUAGAUUUCUGUUUAAUACUUUGUGAAUUUUUUUUUUUAAUUUCUAUUGAGAAUGCACUAUCCAUCUUUCCUUGACUUAUUAGUAAAUCUGUUUUCUUAUCUACCUUUGGUAUUGUAUUUCUUUGCUAAAAACACUCGGGUAAAUUUAGAGCUUUACAGCUGAUAUUGAUCUUUUGUAAAAUUAAAUAUAGCCUGGGGUCCUUUUUAUUUAUACUGUUAAAUAUAUAUUUAUUUUAUUAUAUUACUGACAAUGGGGACUGGUCAAUCUGAGAGCAAAAUUAAUUGAAUCAGAAGCAAUGUUUCUUAAUCAUUGGUUUGAAAUUGCUGGUUUCCAUCAAACAUCAAAAUUUAUGCAAAUAUUUAUUCAGCCUCACUUUAGAUUCAGAGUCAACUGGCACUGAAUCGAUCACGUGGUAUUUGUUCCCCACCUGGCCCUUGCGACGCGCAGCUAGAUUGGGACGGGAUGCCAGGCUACAUUAAAGACCGACCUCACGUUAAUCUCAAAUGGAUGGUUGUUUUAUUGUUUUUUUUUUUAUUAAUUUUGAUUGUAGUUUAUCGAGUUAUUCACCUUCUUGAAUCUAAGCAAUUCACCAACGAUUAGUAUAUUUGAUUAAACAACUUCCGGUUUCUUAAGUAAGAUACAUUUUUCUUAAACAACUUCCGAUUUCCAUAAGUGAGAG